UACGUAGGGUGCGAGCGUUAAUCGGAAUUACUGGGCGUAAAGCGUGCGCAGGCGGUUUUGUAAGCCAGAUGUGAAAGCCCCGGGCUUAACCUGGGAAUGGCAUUUGGGACUGCAAGGCUUGAGUGCGGCAGAGGAGACUGGAAUUCCUGGUGUAGCAGUGAAAUGCGUAGAUAUCAGGAGGAAUACCGAUGGCGAAGGCAGGUCUCUGGGCUGACACUGA
rnacentral:rRNA from 1 species